UACGUAGGGUGCGAGCGUUGUCCGGAUUUAUUGGGCGUAAAGGGCUCGUAGGCGGUUUGUCGCGUCGGGAGUGAAAACUCAGGGCUUAACCCUGAGCCUGCUUCCGAUACGGGCAGACUAGAGGUAUGCAGGGGAGAACGGAAUUCCUGGUGUAGCGGUGAAAUGCGCAGAUAUCAGGAGGAACACCGGUGGCGAAGGCGGUUCUCUGGGCAUUACCUGACGCUGAGGAGCGAAAGUGUGGGGAGCGAACAGG
rnacentral:rRNA from 1 species